UACGUAGGGGGCAAGCGUUGUCCGGAUUUACUGGGCGUAAAGAGCGUGUAGGCGGCCACGCAGGUCCGUUGUGAAAACUGGAGGCUCAACCUCCAGCUGUCGACGGAAACCGUGUGGCUAGAGUCCGGAAGAGGAGAGUGGAAUUCCUGGUGUAGCGGUGAAAUGCGCAGAUAUCAGGAAGAACACCAAUGGCGAAGGCAGCUCUCUGGGACGGUACUGACGCUGAGACGCGAAAGCGUGGGAGCAAACAGG
rnacentral:rRNA from 1 species